rnacentral:lncRNA from 1 species
ACUAACAUGUCCAAGGCUGCUACCAUAUAAAUGCUUAACAAAGGAACACACUUAUCUUGAACACACUAACAAAUUGAUUGAUAUCAUUGCAUCCCAUUAGUAUGUUUAUCCAAGAAUGAUAAUGCUUUGUUCAUUCUAUGAGAUUACCACUUCAUUUAUUUUGCAUUUUUGGAUAGUCUUUUACUUAGUUCUUUUUUUUCUUCCUACAAUUGUAAUCAUAACCAACAAACAAACCAGAAGUAAAUUAUAUUAGCACUAGACUGUAAAGGGGCAUCACCUCUCUAUUGCAUUUUAUCAAGCAGUUGGAGGGCAUAUAUGAAGGGUAACUCCAACCUUCAAAAGAGCAGCACUUAAGUCAUCCAUGGAGAUUCAUCGGAGUUCAGAAGGUCAGCUAACCCCAUUGCCCCUAAGUCGAUCAACCCAUGUGUGCUCGUCCCACCUGAUUUCUAACCUAGAAUGGGUUUUCAGUUCUAUGCAAUUCCCUUAAUAGUUUGCAGAACAAGUUCAGUUUCUGCUACUAUUCACAGGUUGGUUAGAGACGGCAGAACCCUUAACUAAGGGUUUUAAUGGCAUCACAAAUGCCAUUUAAGAAAGGGUAUUCUAGUAUUUUAAAUUAGUUGUUCAAGGGUGUUUACGAUAUUUAAUGUAAUAUCAUAACAAAUGCCAAUUAAUGAAGGGUAUUCUUGUAUGGCU